GAAAUAAAUAACCUUAAAGCUUCUAACUUUAAAAAAAAUUUAAAAAUUUAUAUUUCU
rnacentral:tRNA from 1 species